rnacentral:lncRNA from 1 species
ACAAAUUCUAGUUUGGCUAUUUGAGACAAAUGGCAUAAAGAGACAUAUUUUUUGACAUCUUUAUAAAGAAUAAGUGUCAUGGAUACAAAAUACAGACAAGAAAACUAGACAAGAAGUUCAAGAAGAACUGGAUUAAUCAGAUGAGUACAAGAACAACACUAGAAAGGUGAGCUAGAACUCCAAGAGAUGUGUUGUCGAGACUGAAGAACCC